rnacentral:rRNA from 1 species
UACGGGGGGAGCAAGCGUUGUUCGGAUUUACUGGGCGUAAAGGGCGCGUAGGCGGUAGCACAAGUCAGUUGUGAAAUCUCCGGGCUUAACUCGGAAAGGUCAACUGAUACUGUGCGACUAGAGUGCAGAAGGGGCAACUGGAAUUCUCGGUGUAGCGGUGAAAUGCGUAGAUAUCGAGAGGAACACCUGCGGCGAAGGCGGGUUGCUGGGCUGACACUGACGCUGAGGCGCGAAAGCCAGGGGAGCGAGCGGA